GCACAGAGCUCAUUUCCUGUGGUGCUGUCUUCUGUUUUGAAUUCUGAUGGACACAGAGAUGGAUUGGAGAGUGGCCUGAGGCAGGUAGACUCAGGUAGGCCAAGUCCUGCUUCCACAGCAGUGCCAAGAUGAGCCAUACCAGACUCUUUGAGGACAGAGAUGGCAGGAGAAACAAAUGGCACUUGCCUUGUCAUCCCUUUGCUGAGGUAGCAGUGCUGUGAAGAGCAGUGUUUGGUAAAAUAAACACUUGAGAUGUUCCUCAUUGUCUUAGCAAUUACAGCGGAGAUAUUGUACUGAGCAUAGAUUUGGAUCGCACCAGACCUCAACUGGACAGCUUCAAACAUUACAUUAAGCAGCUCUGCUCUCCUCCUGUAGGUUUGUUGGGUCACACCAUCUGUGGCAAUGGCUUUCACCAGCUGCAAGACUGGGUUUUCACUGUCCUUCAGAACAGCAAUUUGAAAUGUGGAGCUGUCACAGAAGGCACAACAUAAGCACUGAAAAAAUGCAUCAAAUGCACAGAUUCAUCUGGAUGGAGCCAUUCGGUACAUGGAGAGAGGUAGGAAGUCCUCUUCCUUUUUUUGGGUGGAACAGCUAGGCCCCUCCAGUUCUCAACUGCAUCUUCAGCCUUGAGAAUGUUUGUGGCAGCAUCAGAUCCCACAAACGGAGUGGCCAAAUUUGGAAGGUGGCUUGGCUCAGGAUCUCCAACAUCCAUCAGAUCUGCUGCCUUCGCUGACCUCCAUACAGCCGGUUCCAUUCUGCCCUCACACAGCUCUUUAGUGAUCUGUUCACGCAGGUUUCCAGACAUGAACCGCUUGGAGUGGCCAGUGUGCAGGGAGAGAUCUGUAUUUCUCAUGAAACACUGGAGCACCAUUGGACUAUUAAUUGCUGGCUGUCUGUCACAUGACAUUUCUAACUGGCCAUGACACUCCUUACAGUCGCCUCUAAUGUCCAGAUAAUUAUUGUUGACAGUUGGAUGGACCUUUGCUCUUCGGAACACAAGUGUACAUGUAUUUUUGAUCUUCUUCCAUAUAAGAUCGUUGAUGAUAUGAGUCCAAGUGCCAGGCUUCAAAAUUGUGUAUUCCCUUUUUUGGGUAGGAGGAAACUUGUCAUUGUAUUCAACCUUUUCAGGAAUAAAUUUAACCCAGUCCUCAAAAGGGACUUCUAGUUCAAAAGCUUGACAGUUUUCUUGUCCAGGAGAAAUGCAAUGUGAAUCUAACUCUCCUUCACUAUUACUUUCCUGAUCACUGAUUUCCAAAGCUGACCAGAUGUUGUGUCUAUUUAGCUUCACAAAAGUGUACAGGGCCUUUGCUGACAUCUUGUCUUCUAGCUGCUGACUCAACUCUUUCCAGACUGGUGCAGCUGGAGUGGCUAUUUUGCCAUUUUGGACUAUGGCCUCUUUUGAAUUGCAAAGAAUUGCAAAAAUGGAAACCUUGUCUACAGAUGGCUUUCGAGGCAUCUAAAUAAAAAAAAA